rnacentral:rRNA from 1 species
AUACAGAGGGUGCGAGCGUUAAUCGGAAUUACUGGGCGUAAAGCGCGCGUAGGCGGCUGAUUAAGUCAGAUGUGAAAUCCCCGGGCUCAACCUGGGAACUGCAUCUGAUACUGGUAAGCUAGAGUUUUGGAGAGGGAAGUAGAAUUUCAGGUGUAGCGGUGAAAUGCAUAGAGAUCUGAAGGAAUACCAGUGGCGAAGGCGACUUCCUGGCCAAAAACUGACGCUGAGGUGCGAAAGCGUGGGUAGCAAACGGGAUUAGAAACCCCGGUAGUCC